CUGCCUCUACCCACUCUCCUUCCCCCUCCCUCCUCUUCCUCCUCCUUCUCUUUCUCCUCCUCCUCCCCUUCCUCUUCUUCCUCCCACACCUCCUUCUCCUCCUCUGGCUUGAAAUAUUGGCAAGGACUGUAAUAAUAGCCAAAGAAGUAAGAGUUUAUGUGUUAAUUUGUUCCCAUCUAUCUCUGCUGUCCAUACAGGAGGACUGAGAAGGAAGCUGUUUAGACCAUGCCAUAUUUCUUAGGCCCCAAGAAUCUUACAGAUGGACAGAUCUUCUCUUCAAAUCCUGCCGUCGCAGCCCAGAGAAAGAGACAGCCACUGGAGCAGCACAUCCUGACAUGUGCCAGCAUCCAGGUCCCUAGAAGAUACCCUUAACAAACAAGGCGUUGAAGUUGGUGACUGAAGAUCUCAGCUCAUUUGCCUCUUGAGGAAACAGCUUCCGGAGCAUCCUGCUUAUUAUUUUAGCUCUGAGGAAGAGCAGGAUCCCAGCAGCUUCCUCUUCAUUAGUGAAAGCCUGAUGCCUCCUCCUUCUUAUCGAUCUGCUCACUCGCUCCUUGAGCUUUCUGGAACCCCUUCUCAGAUGAUCUACCAGCAUCCUCUUCCCUACUUUACUACACUACUGUUGUGUGGAGCUAAAUGAUCGAGCACACGGAAUAAAUCUAGCAUUCUUUUCUCUCCUGCA
rnacentral:lncRNA from 1 species